UGGGGAAUCUUGCACAAUGGGGGAAACCCUGAUGCAGCGACGCCGCGUGAACGAUGAAGCCCUUCGGGGUGUAAAGUUCUUUCGACAGGAACGAUAAUGACGGUACCUGGAGAAGAAGCUGCGGCUAACUACGUGCCAGCAGCCGCGGUAAUACGUAGGCAGCGAGCGUUGUUCGGAGUUACUGGGCGUAAAGAGUGCGUAGGCGGCGAGCCAAGUUUGGUGUGAAAUCUCCCGGCUUAACCGGGAGGGUGCGCCGAAAACUGGUUGGCUGGAGUAUGGGAGAGGAAAGCGGAAUUCCUGGUGUAGCGGUGAAAUGCAUAGAUAUCAGGAGGAACACCUGCGGUGUAGACAGCUUUCUGGACCAAAACUGACGCUGAGGCACGAAAGCGUGGGUAGCAAACA
rnacentral:rRNA from 1 species